GUCGCAGCUGUGCCUGAGCUCUGCGACAUCUGCUCCCUCACAGGAAGCCUAUGCUGCAGCUCACAACACCUCGCACACACACACACACACACACACACACACACACACAAACACACGCACGCACGUGCACAGACACAUUCACACAACUACUGCUCCUUAAUACAGUGUAAACAUAUUUCUGGACUAUACAUGCCCCUCUCUCUCUCUCUCUCUCUCUCUCUCUCUCUCUCUCUCUCUCUCUCUCUCUCACACACACACACACACACACACACACACAACUACAUCUACAUCAGGUGAACUACUUAAGACAAAGUGCAGUGUUUACAUUUCACAAUGACACAUUUUGAUUUCUUUAGUUUAUGCAGCUGUGUGUGUGUGUGUGUGUGUGUGUGUGUGUGUGGGUGUGUGUGUGUGUGUGUGUGUGUGUGUGUGUGUGUGUGUGUGUGAGACGAACGGUCUGGAGCACCGACACCAGAGUUCUACUGGGUUUUUAUCAGAGAAUUACAGGGAGGAUGCUUAUGACUAAGCCUAAUUAUAGAGGCCUUAUCACUUCAACGUUCACAAAGCUCAUUACAGCCGAGAGACGGCGGGCGCUGUAGGUAAUUCACUACGUUGGGUAUUAGUCCUCGCUCUGGCUUACAGUUUCUACAUAUUUAAAGUCUAUAAAAUUAGGGCCUUUAAUGUCUGCUUCUUAAUGCAUCUCUCUCCUCGAACACUGCUGCUGAUUUAAGUGAAGGUUUUCAUUUUCACCUAAAGGCAAUACUUCAGUGUUUUCAGCGCUUUAAGAAUCAAUUACCUUUUUUUGUUCCUUUGCUUUCUGUUUUCCUGGAUGUCUUUCAAAUAUCCCUCAUCCAUCUGCAAAAAGCGUCUUUUUUUUCCUUUUAAGUAGUUUUCCCAGUUAUUCGCUGUGAUGCACCCGCAUGGCCUGCAUGUGUACCAUGAGGCUACUGGAGCAGAACAGUGAAACUAUAGUUCUGUGCCCCACAGCUGAAUGGGGAAGCCCAGAGGAAGAUACCCUUUACAGUGCCACUGUAAAGAUUUUACUUGGUGGCCAAUUUGAUCCCAAUGUAGUGAUUCUGCCUGUUUAAUGUAAAAGAAAGUUCUGUCCAUGUAUGUAAUAAUUCUGGAUAUACAACAGGUCUACUAGCGAGAUGAAAGGACCCCACGUUGCCCUUACAGCAUGCGGCGCAAGUCAACACAAACUGAUUAUCCGUCAAUCACUCCAACUUAAUGAGCAGACCCGACAGCUGCGGGACCCUCCAUCACUCGUCAAGCGGCUGCUGGGUGCCAGUUUGGGAUCGAGGCUUCCACGCUGGAGUCGGUGGCCAGUGUGUUUGUCCCUCAGCUCGCGGUGGUUGAUCAGUGUGACCGUGGGCACGCGCGGGGCAAACGCUGAGGCAGGAGUCUCACCUCUCAGGUCAACAUUCUUCCGACGCUCCAAGUGGAUCUCCGCAGACAUGUUCCAACUUUCAAAUCGCCACUGCCAAGAUCUCAACUUUCCCUUUUUCCUUGGCCUUCACUCCGUGUGAAGAACUGUGGUGCGGCAAAAAUACAGACACACAAGACAGUGAGUGCCAGAAACUGCUCAAAUAUUUAGAGAAGUGUUCGGCUCAAUAUUCUCUGUCAUGAAGCGUGUUUAAGGUUUCCCAUGUUUUCCUAAUAUCUUUCAGCAACUUAGCCUUUGAGACACUGUAUGACCCACUGAGCUGCCAAGCAAGGACAAGGACGCUCCAAGUAGCGAAAGAGGAGAAACAGCCAAUCGCUUGAUUCCUCUUCUUCCUUUCAUGUCCUCAUCAAAGACAUUGAUUGCUCCAUUAUUCCUGGAAUCCUCUGGUUGUUUGUCUCUGGUUGUUUGUCUGCAUGCAACCGUGCAUUAGUAAAAUGCAUGAUAGUUGUAUAUGUCAAUACCCACAACUGAUCAUCUUUGUCUUCAGUUAGAAGUAGGUUUUGAGGUCUCCUUUAGGUGAACUCUGCUGCCUUUUCUUUUUGUCCUUUUCUUCCUCCCUCGGCAGCUCCUCUCUCCUUUCUAGUAGAGUGUGUGUGAGGCGACCAUGUGUGCAUAAGUGUGUCUCUGUGGCAGGUCAGCUUCGCCUCGUGGCUCUGGCUGAGGCGCUGCGCUCUCGUCUGAACCCUCCUCCUGCCCUGCCUGCCACCGCAGCACCAAAAGAGAAGUGUGUGUUUGUGUGUCACAGUUUGUGUGCGUUUCAGCGUGUUGCAGGGCUGCAGCCCCUGGGGAGGCCCGGCAGCAGCGUUGGCCGUGGUGAUAGCAGCAGGCAGCGGGACCCGGGCCUCUUCUGUCAGGAACCAGCUGUGUCUGCGGCCAGCAGCCACUCCUUCCCCGCCUGCAUCCUCCAUCCUGAGUGAACCCCCACUUCUCUCUUUCCCAGGAUACGUUGCUUCUGUGCACCUUGCCCAGUGGGCAUAAUAACACACUUUUUCUUUGAUUCAUACCAAAAUAAAACAAUCCUCCUCAUUUGUU